rnacentral:rRNA from 1 species
CCUACGGGACGCAGCAGUGAGGAAUAUUGCCCAAUGGACGCAAGUCUGAGGCAGCAACGCCGCGUGGAGGAUGAAGGUCUUUGGAUUGUAACUCCUUUUUUCAGGGAAGAGUGAGGACGGUACCUGAAGAAUAAGUCACGGCUAACUACGUGCCAGCAGCCGCGGUAAUACGUAGGUGGCAAGCGUUAUCCGGAAUUACUGGGCGUAAAGCACACGCAGGCGGCUCGUCAAGUUCGACGUGAAAGCUCCCGGCUUAACUGGGAGAGGUCGUUGAAAACUGAGGAGCUUGAGGCAAUGAGAGGGGUGUAGAAUUCCCGGUGUAGUGGUGGAAUGCGUAGAUAUCGGGAGGAAUACCAGUGGCGAAAGCGGCACCCUAGCAUUAGCCUGACGCUCAGGUGCGAAAGCGUGGGGAGCGAACGGGAUUAGAUACCCCCGUAGUC